UACAGAGGUCUCAAGCGUUGUUCGGAUUCAUUGGGCGUAAAGGGUGCGUAGGCGGCGCGGUAAGUCGGGUGUGAAAUCUUGGAGCUUAACUCCGAAACUGCAUUCGAUACUGCCGUGCUUGAGGACUGGAGAGGAGACUGGUAAUUUACGGUGUAGCGGUGAAAAUGCGUAGAUAUCGUAAGGAAGACCAGUGGCGAAGGCGGGUCUCUGGACAGUUCCUGACGCUGAGGCACGAAGGCCAGGGGAGCAAACGGG
rnacentral:rRNA from 1 species